GUGAGGAAUAUUGGUCAAUGGCCGAGAGGCUGAACCAGCCAAGUCGCGUGAAGGACGAAGGAUCUAUGGUUUGUAAACUUCUUUUAUAGGGGAAUAAAGUGCGGCACGUGUGCUGUUUUGUAUGUACCCUAUGAAUAAGCAUCGGCUAACUCCGUGCCAGCAGCCGCGGUAAUACGGAGGAUGCGAGCGUUAUCCGGAUUUAUUGGGUUUAAAGGGUGCGUAGGUGGCUGCUUAAGUCAGCGGUGAAAGUUUGUGGCUCAACCAUAAAAUUGCCGUUGAAACUGGGUAGCUUGAGUAUGUUUGAGGUAGGCGGAAUGCGUGGUGUAGCGGUGAAAUGCAUAGAUAUCACGCAGAACUCCAAUUGCGAAGGCAGCUUACUAAACCAUAACUGACACUGAAGCACGAAAGCGUGGGGAUCAAACAGGAUUAGAAACCCUAGUAGUCC
rnacentral:rRNA from 1 species